UCCCUACGGGGCGCAGCAGUGGGGAAUAUUGCACAAUGGGGGAAACCCUGAUGCAGCGACGCCGCGUGAGUGAAGAAGUAUUUCGGUAUGUAAAGCUCUAUCAGCAGGGAAGAAAAUGACGGUACCUGACUAAGAAGCCCCGGCUAACUACGUGCCAGCAGCCGCGGUAAUACGUAGGGGGCAAGCGUUAUCCGGAUUUACUGGGUGUAAAGGGAGCGUAGGCGGCGAGGUAAGCCAGAAGUGAAAGCCCGCGGCUCAACUGCGGGACUGCUUUUGGAACAAUCUAGCUAGAUUGCAGGAGAGGG
rnacentral:rRNA from 1 species